GACGUAGGAGGCGAGCGUUAUCCGGAUUUAUUGGGCGUAAAGGGCAAGUAGGCGGUUGUCAAAGUUGGGCGUGACAACUCCCGGCUCAACUGGGAGGGUGCGUUCAAAACUAGGCAACUAGAGGGCAGGAGAGGGAAGUGGAAUUCCCAGUGUAGCGGUGGAAUGCUCAGAUAUUGGGAAGAACACCAGUGGCGAAGGCGGCUUCCUGGCCUGCACCUGACGCUGAGAGGCGAAAGCUAGGGUAGCAAACGGGCUUAGAUACCCCGGUAGUCCCUGAG
rnacentral:rRNA from 1 species